rnacentral:rRNA from 1 species
UACGAAGGGGGCUAGCGUUGCUCGGAAUCACUGGGCGUAAAGCGCACGUAGGCGGCUUUCUAAGUCAGGGGUGAAAUCCUGGAGCUCAACUCCAGAACUGCCUUUGAUACUGGAGAGCUCGAGUCCGGAAGAGGUGAGUGGAACUGCGAGUGUAGAGGUGAAUUCGUAGAUAUUCGCAAGAACACCAGUGGCGAAGGCGGCUCACUGGUCCGGUACUGACGCUGAGGUGCGAAAGCGUGGGGAGCAAGCAGGAGUA